UGACAAAGAAGUUAAUGAUCACAUGGACUGAGCCCAAAUUCUUGAUCAAUGAAUCAUGUAGGCUGCUUUGUUUAGGCUUUGGCAAAUCAAUACUCCAUUUUGUUAAACAAGUAAAAUAGAUUUUUUUGUGGGGGGUGCUCUGAAUUAAUUUUUAAAUAUCAUGUGUCAGAAAAAGAAAAUCUGAAAGAGUGCUUGAGAGUACUGCUUGGAGCUCUUCAAAAUUGCUUCUUUGCAUUUUUUUUGUCUUGUUAUGCUUUUUUACCAGGUGACAAGACACAUCAGAUGGCCAGUUAAGGGAAAGAAAUGCUACUUCAAUUUUGGCACAUCUUUUAUGCUGUAGUACCAAAUCACAACCCUGUUUCAGAAUGAUCCAGGCCAUUAGCAUCACCUUCGUAAUUGGAAGAUGCAGCUUUAUUCAUUCACUACAGUAUCACUUAGUAGAUUCAGAUAAUCUUUGUGGACAAUGUGGGAUAAGAGUCCAAAACUAUGGAUGGACAUGGCGAGAGGGACAUGGAAAUCUCCAGUUCAGAGAAGGCUCCCAAGUACCUAAUUGAGAGCAAGUUGGCAGCUUCUAUCCCCAAGACACAGAUUUCACUCAUCAUUGUUACAGAAUGAAAAAUUUAAGAAACCCCCAAGAGAAGAAUUUUCUUAUUUUAUUCAAACGAAGCUUCCAUCUGAAGGCACAUAUGCCACCAUAUGGGAUCCAUUUCAAGCAUUCAUUAGGAGAAGAAUAAUUAGUCUAGCAUCAUACCAGGAAGAAAAGAAGAGGCCCAGAGGAUAAUUACUUUAGAAACAGAAAUAAAAGACCUUGAAACUAAAUUUGCUAGGGACA
rnacentral:lncRNA from 1 species